GCUGGGUGAUGAGGAGAUCCACGAAGAAGAGGAAGAGCUCGUUCAAGAAGUACAGGACAGUUCUUGGGAUCAUAACCACAAGGGAAUGAUUGAGGCUGAAAGGGUACCGACAGAGCAAGGGGCAAUUAUGCAAGUUAUGAAGAAAUCCUCGGAGCAAAUUGUUAACUCGAUUCCGCCACCUACUACUUCUGCAUCGAGUCAAAACCCUAAUCCUCAAUCAACAACAUCUGAAUUGCCUGUUAGGACGCCAUCACCGAGGCGAGCUCCACCAGUGAAGCCUUUGAAGCUUCCGAAGCCAAAGGCGAAGGAUCCUAAUAA
rnacentral:lncRNA from 1 species